UUCACUUGUAUCCAGAGAUCACAGGGUAGACUGAAGAUAGUCAAAGGGGGGCGAUGGCGUGUGGAGAGAGAAAGAGAGAGAGAGAGGAUAGAAACGAAGAAACAACAUAGACAAUCCUUUGCAGUUGAUUGAAAAUGGAUUCCUGUCAGAUUCAGGGUCCCUCUCAGUAGCCGAAGAUUCUCUGGACCUCACUAUACACCCUAAGGCAGCUGUGAACUCCUGGCAAUACCCUGCUCCACCCAGCUCAGAUUUCAGGUUGAACCCAUCAUGCUUAGGUUAUAAUUCUCUUUAGCUGGAACAUGACAAAAAGCAUCAAGAACUGAGGACGACCACAACCAAACAACAAGACAAGAAUAGGCAGCUGACUCCCUGUCAGGAGAUGAACCACCCCUCACACACCAGCCAGGGUCCAGGUGAAACUGCAGAGGAACUCAUGAGAUGAGCAAGAGGCUUCCAUGGAGAGCCUGACACCCUGGGCCAGGAUGAUGGAGACAGACUCUGAGGACACUCAGAACACACCAAAGCAGAACUUCAGAAGCUAUGGCUCAGGGAAGUUUGCAGAAGAGGGUGUGGAAAGAAUAUAAGGCCCACAGGGUGGGAAGGACUAUCCAGAGACAUAGCCCCUCUCCACAAUAGCAGACUGCUGCUCUCACAAUGAAAGCCCACAACUACAUGUUGCAUACCAACAAUUCCACCAAGGAUGGCCUUCAGUGGAGUGGGGAAGGGAGGAGGGAAAUGAUGGUUUCUAUACAAAGUUUCUACUUCAUUAAAAAAUAAUAAUAAAUAAAUAAAAAUUGUCUGA